rnacentral:lncRNA from 1 species
GUUUUCCUACGUAACAAACCUGCACAUCCUGCACAUGUAUCCUGGAACUUAAAAUAAAAUAAAAUAAAAUUUUUAAAAAGAAUAAAUAAAUAGCAGCCUAGUCCAAAGACGUUUACAUCCUGGAAGAGAACUUGCUGGCUUUUCACCUCAGCAUGUAUGGGCCAAACUAAUAUAACAAGAAGUCUUGAGAGGAGUCAGCGGCCAAGCUCCAUGUCUUGCAGCCAAACAAUGCUGUGGGAUGGAAGGUGGGAUGUCAUGUGUCUGGUUUACAGCACUCACGUAUCAGUUGGCAGUUAACGGAAGUGCUACUGAUUGGUGAUAUGCCUACUCCCCCUUCACCUUCGAUCAUGAUUGUAAACUUCGUGAGGACAUCACCAAAGGCUGACAUUGGCAACAUGCUUCCUGUACAAUCUGCAGAACAACGAUGGAACAAAAUAAACACCUUUUCUUUAUAAAUUA